CCUACGGGUGGCACCAGUGGGGAAUCUUGGGCAAUGGGCGGAAGCCUGACCCAGCGACGCCGCGUGAGGGAAGAAGGCCCUCGGGUCGUAAACCUCUGUCAGGAGGGAAGAAAAUGCUAGAGAUUAACAGUUUUUAGUAUUGACGGUACCUCCAGAGGAAGCGCCGGCCAACUCCGUGCCAGCAGCCGCGGUAAUACGGAGGGCGCAAGCGUUAUUCGGAAUUACUGGGCGUAAAGCGCGCGUAGGCGGCAACGUAAGUCAGGUGUGAAAGCCCUCGGCUCAACCGGGGGAUGGCACUUGAAACUGCGUAGCUGGAGUUCUGGAGAGGGUGGCGGAAUUCCCGGUGUAGGAGUGAAAUCCGUAGAGAUCGGGAAGAACACCAGAGGCGAAGGCGGCCACCUGGCCAGAAACUGACGCUGAGGCGCGAAAGCGUGGGUAGCAAACAGGAUUAGAUACCCUAGUAGUC
rnacentral:rRNA from 1 species